GAUGAACGCUGGCGGCGUGCCUAAUACAUGCAAGUCGAGCGAACAGACGAGGAGCUUGCUCCUCUGACGUUAGCGGCGGACGGGUGAGUAACACGUGGAUAACCUACCUAUAAGACUGGGAUAACUUCGGGAAACCGGAGCUAAUACCGGAUAAUAUAUUGAACCGCAUGGUUCAAUAGUGAAAGACGGUUUUGCUGUCACUUAUAGAUGGAUCCGCGCCGCAUUAGCUAGUUGGUAAGGUAACGGCUUACCAAGGCGACGAUGCGUAGCCGACCUGAGAGGGUGAUCGGCCACACUGGAACUGAGACACGGUCCAGACUCCUACGGGAGGCAGCAGUCGGGAAUCUUCCGCAAUGGGCGAAAGCCUGACGGAGCAACGCCUCGUGAGUGAUGAAGGUCUUCGGAUCGUAAAGCUCUGUUAUUAGGGAAGAACAAAUGUGUAAGUAACUAUGCACGUCUUGACGGUACCUAAUCAGAAAGCAACGGCUAACUACGUG
rnacentral:rRNA from 1 species